CGACCAUAACCCAUAACCCUUCGAAAGACACAAUGUGAUUUAUUCCCAUUGCUCUGCAUGUCAAAGUGAAGAAAUUCAACCAAGCACAGGUAGAUGACAUGAGUAACUAUGACUAUCUUAAGUUAGUCAGAUGCCUCGGCAUCUAAUUAGUGACGUGCAUGAAUGGAUAAUUAGCGAGAUUCCCCAUUGUCCCUAGCUACUAUAUUCUAGAGAAACCACAUCCAAGGGAAUGGGAUUGGAAAAAUUAGCGAGGAAAGAAGACCAUGUUGAGCUUGACUCUAUUGUCCUAAUCCAUUCAUAGU
rnacentral:ncRNA from 1 species